AAACUUUCAACAACGGAUCUCUUGGCUCUGGCAUCGAUGAAGAACGCAGCGAAAUGCGAUAAGUAAUGUGAAUUGCAGAAUCUAGUGAAUCAUCGAAUCGUUGAACGCACAUUGCGCCCCUUGGUAUUCCGAGGGGCAUGCCUGUUCGAGCGUC
rnacentral:rRNA from 1 species